rnacentral:rRNA from 1 species
GACGUAGGGGGCUAGCGUUGUCCGGAAUUACUGGGCGUAAAGAGCUCGUAGGCGGCCUGUUAAGUCGGGUGUGAAAGCCCUCGGCUCAACCGAGGAACUGCACUCGAUACUGGCGGGCUAGAGUCUGGUAGAGGGAGGUGGAAUUCCCGGUGUAGCGGUGAAAUGCGCAGAUAUCGGGAGGGAAACCGGGGGCGAAGGCGGCCUCCUGGGCCACGACUGACGCUGAGGAGCGAAAGCUGGGGGAGCGAACAGG